GAACAUCGCCAGGUUGGUGCAAGUCAUCCCUCGUUUCUGGCAUUGGUGUUGUUUAAAAAAUGUUGCCAUCAGUGAUAGUAAGUAACAUGUUAGUGUUAGUGUUGUUUUUGAAUACAUAUGCCAGGUCAUGUCUUAGGAAGUUAGAAGACAUAAUCCUCCAAGCUUAAGCUUAAUAGUUCGUCCAUCCUACCAGGCGCCCCUGGAUUCAAUCCAUAUGAUACCUAGGCUACUACAGUAUAUUAUAGUUCUUCGGUUCAAGCUUCUCCCACCAAGGCCAGUCUUCAAGCACCGGUCUAUAGGUUGGGGAAAAGUCAGCAGGAAGGUCCAACCAAUACUGAAAGAGAUACAAUAAUACCGAAAGAGAAAAAAUAAAUUCAAAGGUGUUGUUGCUAAGUCGAAGGCUGUGGAGAUUCACUAUGAUUUGAGAAGAUUGUAGUGCAAGAUUGGGGAAGUGUUGCAAUGUAUCGUCCAAUGUUUCAUCUAAAUAAAGCACAUGCAUUUAUUUAGCUA